GUGCCAGCAGCCGCGGUAAUACGGAGGGUGCAAGCGUUGUUCGGAAUUAUUGGGCGUAAAGCGCGUGUAGGCGGCUGUUUAAGUCUGAUGUGAAAUCCCUGGGCUCAACCCGGGAAGUGCAUUGGAGACUGGACAGCUUGAGUACGGGAGAGGGGAGUGGAAUUCCGAGUGUAGGGGUGAAAUCCGUAGAUAUGCGGAGGAACACCGGUGGCGAAGGCAGCUACCUGGGCCGUUACUGACGCUGAUGCGCGAAAGCGUGGGGAGCAAACAGGAUUAGAUACCCUGGCAGUCCACGCCGUAA
rnacentral:rRNA from 1 species